UACGUAGGGGCAAGCGUUGUCCGGAUUUACUGGGCGUAAAGAGCGUGUAGGCGGCCACGCAGGUCCGUUGUGAAAACUGGAGGCUCAACCUUCAGACGUCGACGGAAACCGUAUGGCUAGAGUCCGGAAGAGGAGAGUGGAAUUCCUGGUGUAGCGGUGAAAUGCGCAGAUAUCGGGAAGAACACCAAUGGCGAAGGCAGCUCUCUGGGACGGUACUGACGCUGAGACGCGAAAGCGUGGGGAGCGA
rnacentral:rRNA from 1 species